rnacentral:rRNA from 1 species
AACGAACGCUGGCGGCGUGGCUAAGACAUGCAAGUCGAACGGACUGGUCAAUUUAUUGAGCAGUUAGUGGCGAAAGGGUUAGUAAUGGAUAGGCAACGUACCCUGUGCUCCGGGAUAGCGUCAUUCGCCUUCGGGCGAAUUCCCGAAAGGGGCGGUAAUACCGGAUAAUAUCAUGUGUCGAUGGGCACAUGUUCAAAGAUUUAUCGGCGCAGGAGCGGCCUAUUUCCUAUCAGCUUGUUGGUGAGGUAACUGCUCACCAAGGCGAUGACGGGUAGCGGGACUGAGAGGUUGACCCGCAACAUCGGGACUGAGACACUGCCCGGACCUCCACGGAGGGCUGCAGUAACGAAUCUUGCGCAAUGGGCGAAAGCCUGACGCAGCGACGCCGCGUGCGGGAAGAAGUCCUUCGGGAUGUAAACCGCUGUCAGGGGUAAGAAAGUCCACUUCGGUGGAUUGAUCUAACCCAAAGGAAGUCACGGCUAACUUCGUGCCAGCAGCCGCGGUAAGACGAAGGUGGCAAGCGUUGUUCGGUGUCACUGGGCUUAAAGAGUGUGUAGGCGGAAAAGUAAGCGUCGCGUGAAAGCCCCCGGCUCAACCGGGGAACUGCUCGACGAACUGCUUUUCUUGAGGCAAGUAGGGGUGCACGGAACUCUUGGUAGAGCGGUGGAAUGCGUAGAUAUCAAGAGGAACGCCGGAGGAGAAAUCGGUGCACUGGGCUUGUUCUGACGCUGAGACACGAAAGCGUGGGGAGCGAACGGGAUUAGAUACCCCGGUAGUCCACGCCGUAAACGAUGUCUACUAGGUUGUGGUGGUUCUGACACCAGCACGGCCGAAGCAAAAGUGAUUAGUAGACCGCCUGGGGAGUACGGUCGCAAGGCUA